rnacentral:rRNA from 1 species
CUGUAGGCUGCAACUCGCCUACACGAAGUUGGAAUUGCUAGUAAUCGUGGAUCAGCAUGCCACGGUGAAUACGUUCCCGGGUCUUGUACACACCGCCCGUCACACCAUGGGAGCUGGUAACACCCGAAGUCAGUAGUCUAACCGCAAGGAGGACGCUGCCGAAGGUGGGAUUAGCGACUGGGGUGAAGUCGUAACAAGGUACC